UAUCGAUAUAGGUGAAACGUGGAGAAGAUAAUUUGCAAUCAUUGCGGACAAUAUCGCAGUGACAUUAUUAUCAAUCGGCAAUAUUAAAGAUAAAAUUCAUAUGGGAUGAAAACAGAGCGUCAAAAGUGGUUAUUUUCCGAUCUUCUUGCGAAGGGAAGAAUGUUUAAGAACGGCUCUCAGCAAGGAAUAAAAAAUGUUAUUACAGUUCCAUUUUCGUGUUCGUUUUUUUUCUACAUGAUCCAUGUGAAAUAAUUCUUCAGAUGCUCUGCUGGUAAAUGAAUCGACGAUUGUAAUAGAGGAAAUAUGAAGUACAGCGAGAUCGUUGUUGAUUAUUGUUCUACACCGAUAUCGACAAAAUAAUUCUUCGACAACUCUAUUGAUAAAUCAAUUGUAGUUUGAAAUCAAACGAAUCUGAAGUACCAUUAGUUUGUUGCUACGAGAACAAUAGCCACCAACGAUCUCGCAGUAAUUCUGAUUCGUUCGAUUUUAAACUUCAAUUGUUUUACCGUGUAGCGCGUAAGUUUGACCUCUGCUUAAUUUUUUCAUCUCUACACUCAUCUUUUUCAACUUCCAUGUCACAUUUCGUAUAAAUGCUAAUAAUUCUUUGUUUUUUUUUUUUUUUGAUAAAUUCUCUUAAACGUCGCACAAGAAUUUUUCGUUCGCGAGGAGGUGCAAAAAUGGCCACUUUUUGACUUAAGUCAAAAUUUGCAAAUUUGGGGUUAGCCCCAACUUAACCACACUUUUAAUCCAACAUGAAUUUUAUUUUAAUAUUACUGAUCUCUGAUGGUGGAUCUGCGAUACUGUACUUAAUGAUUAACGAAGCUCAUUCUCUGGAGUGAAACUUUUAGUUUCUCUUUCUUACGCGAUAAAGGAGAGGUAUUUGGUAGCGCAAUUGAGAAGAUGUUAACGGCGCAAAAGGGAAACGAUACGGGGGCUUCCGGGUCGAGCGGAAAGCCCUCGGUAUUUCCGAACAAACCAAUGUCAGGCAAAGUGACAAAUUGGUUUUCAAAUACCAAGAAUCAAAAUCGGAAUCAGACGGAAUCCAGCGAACCGUCUCUCUGUUCUUCCCUAAAGGACCUAUUCAACAAUUAAUGGGGAAGAACAAAUGCUAAUAAAUGUUAAGUGUCUCUAGUUUAA